UGCAAAUUGGGUCGUCCUGAGCCAACCAGCUAGCUUAGCCCCGCAAUAUAAAUCAACAAUAUUUAUAACGAAACAAGACCGAACCCCACAAAUUAAACCAUUUUUUUACCUGAGUAUGGGAGACAGAAAAGGUUCACCCAGAGCAAUAGAGAAAGUACCGCAAGGAAAGCUGAAAGAGAAAUGAAACAACCCAUAUAAGCGCUGAAAAACAAAGACUUAACCUUGUACCUUUUGCAUCAUGAUUUAGCCAGUACCCUCAAGCGAAGAGACCUUUAGUUUGAUACCCCGAAACCAAGUGAGCUACCCCGAGACAGCCUAUAUAUUUAGGGCUAACCCGUCUCUGUGGCAAAAGAGUGGGAAGAGCUCCGGGUAGAAGUGAUAGACCUACCGAACUUGGUGAUAGCUGGUUGCCUACAAAAUGAAUAGAAGUUCAGCCUCGUAUACCCUUACUCAAGAAACACAUUCUCAAGAUCUAUGGAAACGUACGAGAGUUAGUUGAAGGGGGUACAGCCCCUUUAACAAAGGAUACAACCUUCACAGGAGGAUAAAGAUCAUAAUGAAUAAAAUAUACUGUUCUAGUGGGCCUGAAAGCAGCCACCUAAACAGAAAGCGUUAAAGCUCGGACAGAACGAGAUUUAUUAUCCCGAUAAAAAAUCUAACUCCCCUAAUUGUAUUAGGCCAACCCAUGCCCACAUGGUGAGACUAUGCUAAAAUGAGUAACAAGAAGACUAGAUCUUCUCCCGCCACAAGUGUACGCCAGAUCGGACCAACCACUGGAGCUUAACGAGCCCAACCAAAGAGGGCAUUGUGAAUAAUGAGGGGGAAGGAACUCGGCAAACAUAAGCCUCGCCUGUUUACCAAAAACAUCGCCUUCUGCAAUGUAACGUAUAGAAGGUCCAGCCUGCCCAGUGACUACGGGUUCAACGGCCGCGGUAUAUUGACCGUGCAAAGGUAGCGCAAUCACUUGUCUUUUAAAUAGAGACCUGUAUGAAUGGCUAGACGAGGGCUUGACUGUCUCCCCCCUCCGGUCAGUGAAAUUGAUCUAUCCGUGCAGAAGCGGGUAUAAAUAUACAAGACGAGAAGACCCUUUGGAGCUUAAGGUACAAAAUUCAGCCAUGUUAAACAACUCUAUACAAAGCAAGAACUUUAUGGCCGUGAAAUUUUACCUUCGGUUGGGGCGACCGCGGAGGAAAAGCAAGCCUCCGAGUGGACUGGGCCAAGACCCCUAAAGCCAAAAGAAACAUCUUUAAGCCGCAGAACAUCUGACCAAAAAUGAUCCGACUAAAAAGCCGAUCAACGGACCAAGUUACCCUAGGGAUAACAGCGCAAUCCUCUCCCAGAGCCCAUAUCGACGAGGGGGUUUACGACCUCGAUGUUGGAUCAGGACAUCCUGAUGGUGCAGCCGCUAUCAAGGGUUCGUUUGUUCAACGAUUAAAGUCCUACGUGAUCUGAGUUCAGACCGGAGCAAUCCAGGUCAGUUUCUAUCUGUAACGCUACUUUUCCUAGUACGAAAGGAUCGGGAAAGAGGGGCCYAUGCUGACGCAUGCCCCACCCCUAAUUCAUGAAAACAAAUAAAUUAAAGAAGGGAGGGCCAAAACCCCUGCCGCCCAAGAUAAGGGCA
rnacentral:rRNA from 1 species